AAUAGAUACCCAGGUAGUCCACGCCGUAAACGAUGUCGACUUGGAGGUUGUUCCCUUGAGGAGUGGCUUCCGGAGCUAACGCGUUAAGUCGACCGCCUGGGGAGUACGGCCGCAAGGUUAAAACUCAAAUGAAUUGACGGGGGCCCGCACAAGCGGUGGAGCAUGUGGUUUAAUUCGAUGCAACGCGAAGAACCUUACCUACUCUUGACAUCCACGGAACUUUUCAGAGAUGAAUUGGUGCCUUCGGGAACCGUGAGACAGGUGCUGUAUGGCUGUCGUCAGCUCGUGUUGUGAAAUGUUGGGUUAAGUCCCGCAACGAGCGCAACCCUUAUCCUUUGUUGCCAGCGGUUAGGCCGGGAACUCAAAGGAACUGCCAGUGAUAAACUGGAGGAAGGUGGGGAUGACGUCAAGUCAUCAUGGCCCUUACGAGUAGGGCUACACACGUGCUACAAUGGCGCAUACAAAGAGAAGCGACCUCGCGAGAGCAAGCGAACCUCAUAAAGUGCGUCGUAGUCCGGAUUGGAGUCUGCAACUCGACUCC
rnacentral:rRNA from 1 species